rnacentral:rRNA from 1 species
GAGUUUGAUCGUGGCUCAGAUUGAACGCUGGCGGCAUGCCUUACACAUGCAAGUCGAACGGCAGCAUGAUCUAGCUUGCUAGAUUGAUGGCGAGUGGCGAACGGGUGAGUAAUACAUCGGAACGUGCCCUGUAGGUGGGGGAUAACUAGUCGAAAGAUUAGCUAAUACCGCAUACGACCUGAGGGUGAAAGGUGGGGGACCGCAAGGCCUCAUGCUAUAGGAGCGGCCGAUGUCUGAUUAGCUAGUUGGUGGGGUAAAGGCCCACCAAGGCGACGAUCAGUAGCUGGUCUGAGAGGACGAUCAGCCACACUGGGACUGAGACACGGCCCAGACUCCUACGGGAGGCAGCAGUGGGGAAUUUUGGACAAUGGGCGAAAGCCUGAUCCAGCAAUGCCGCGUGUGCGAAGAAGGCCUCGG